rnacentral:tRNA from 1 species
GGCAGUAUAGCCUCAUAGGUAAGAGCACAGGCUCUUGAGCAGGACUUCCUGGGUUCAAAUCCCAGCUCUGCCA